AGCCCACAUCGCCGGUGCACACAUACACACACACACACGCACACACAAACCUGCUUUGACCUUCUCUGCCUCGCCGUUCUUGCCGCUAUCAACGAAUCAUGUCUCCCCACAACAAGCGUGGGAAGGCCAAGGAGGCUGCGAACAAGCAGCGAAAGGCGAACCAGCAUCAACGCCACAGCACGUCCACGGGGCACCACACGUACUUCGGCACCCGAGGCGGUGGCGGCGACUCCUACCUGUCCACCCAUACCUCCGCCAAGCAGAACAAAGUAAAGCACACUUACGAUGACACGGACCCGUUAGACCAACAGCUCUUCGAUUAUAUCAUUGUCGUGGACGUGGAGGCGACGUGUGAGCAGAACAGCCGGAACUACCCCCACGAGGUCAUCGAGAUUCCUGGUGUCCUUAUCGACGUCCGCACCGGUCAGGUCGAUCGAGCCCGCUCCUUUCACACCUUCGUGAAGCCCUGGCGCAACUCCAGGCUGACCCCCUUCUGCACCCAGCUCACCGGUAUCACACAAGAGGUCGUGGACGCUGCCCCGAGCAUUACCGAGGCCAUCCAGCUCUUCGAGAAAUGGUACCGGGAGACCAUUCCCAGAGGCGCCAAGACCAUCUUCGCCGCCGACGGCCCAUGGGAUUUCAAGAACUUCAUCCACGAGCAUCACAUCCUGCGCGAUCAUGUAGGCUUUCCCAGCAUCUUCUACGAAUACCUCGAUAUCCGCACCACCUUUGCCCACCACCUGAACCACGGCGUGCCGAUUAAACUAGACGCCAUGCUGCGCAAGAUGAACCUGCGCUUCGACGGCAGGCCGCACAACGGCUUCGACGACGCAUACAACAUUGCGCGGCUCGCUGUUGCGAUGAUGAAGGCCGGCUGCGUGCUUGACUUCGUAAUAGCCAUUCCACUAGAUGAUGCGUACCACUAUCACCUGGACGGUGUACCGCUCUACCGACGUGAGGAGGGUAGCGGGCACGUCGAUCGCGACGUCGUGGAGGACAUCGCGAAGCGGUGCUACGGUGCCGACUACUUCAAGUUCGGCCAGCGUCACCGCGACGCUGUCCGCGCUUAUCGCCUCGAACACCCCAAGGAGUUCAGCCACGCCAACGUGGUGGCGCUGAAGCGGCGCAACGACCGCGCGUUAGCUCGGCAACGGCAGCGGCAGUGGCGCCUCACAGUGCUGUUUCUCUUCGCACUCCUGCUGGUAGAAAUAGCGUACGCGCUGCAACUGCACCGCGCUGCCGCAGCGUGGCUGGCGUCCGCCUUUGCCAGCCACAGCCUAACCAGCUGCAGCGCUUCUGCCUCACAAAGCGUGUAGGGUGGUGCACGGAGCGGCUUAUCGACAGCGCCAACAUGGCGACGCUCACGCGCGUCUUCGGGUGCACCCCACGACGUGCGCGUGUGCGUGUGGACGACUGCGCUGGGGAAUAGCUUCGUGGCUGCUGAUGUUUUUCAAUUUUGUAAGUAACUAAGAUAAUCGUAAACACCGUUGGCUGAUUGCGAAUACGCCGCCUUCUCACUCUGUCACCGCAUGACCCGCCGACACCCCCGCACACUGACGCGAGCGGGCUACCCUGCGCACUUGGCGCGGGAGGUGUACACACCGGGCCACGGCGUUGCCACAGGGGUUCGGCAGCCCUCGUGCGGGCAUGCAGGCGCCGGCCCUUUUGGAGCUUCGCACGCACACGGCAUCUUUCGUCGGCAGCGGUCGUGCUGAGCGGGCUGCCCCCGUCGGACGUCUGAGGCUGGUACCCUGUGCCCCUUUCAGGGCGACAAGCCGUGACCUUUUCGCGCUCAGGCAGAUGCUUGCCCGCGGCCUCUCCCUCAGCACACCCACGCCUGGGAAAGGCGGGCGGAUGUAGGGGAGGGACAAAAGGCCCCUGCCGCUGCAGACGCAUAGCGGCGUCCCGGCUGUUGCGGCGCGUGCGGGCAGGCCAUCCACACACGCCCCCACCCCCGGCGAUAUCGACGGAAAUGGAAGAUGAUGGGGGCCAUCCCCCGACAACGACGUCGCCCGGAAACAUGCCCUGAAGCGCCGAGAUGCGGGCGCUGCCGUGCGCGGCUGGCGUGGUGCAUCGCACCAAAACAAAGCGCGCGGGCGUGAGAAGCGCACGGCGGACGGACGGAAAAGGCGCGAGCGUCUUUGCGCCAGUCAACCUCAAAGUGCGUGCGUGCGAGGCGUGCGGCGCCCUCUGCGUCCGGCCGGGUGGGCCGAUGUGGCGCAGACGCCGGAAGCAUGACGAGGACACCCCGGGCCGCACCGUCGGGUGCCCCAGCCUCCAGUGCGGGGGGUCCCCGCGCCAUGUUGUGGGGUGCCGCGGCUCGGGGCGGCUCGGGGGGGGGGUGCUGUGGGCGGGCUCCCUCCCCGCGCAUGCCGGGCACAUGCGCCUUGGCCACCCCUCGCCGACCGCCCGGCGGACGCGAUUGCUUUCGUUCUCGAGCAGAACCCUGAAUGCGACCCGCUGGGAUCAGAGCAUGCGGCGGCGCCAGGUUCGUGCGGCGCCAAUCGCGCAGCGCGUGUCCCGGCAAGGGGCGGGGCAGGACAGGAAAGGCCGGGUGGACGCAUGACCCGCACAGAGGGGCAGACGGCGUGUCCUAGGCGACAAGGCUUUAGCCGCGGCAAAAGAGAGGCAGACGAGCCGUGGUUGUGUAUGCGCAUAUUUGCUAACCGACACGCGGCACAGAGGCGUCUUGAAGGCAAGACCUGUGUGCUCCGCGCCGUGCUUGUGAGAAGCACACAGGGAGGAGGGCGGAAGAGAGAGGCGGAGGACCGCUUGUACAGUUUUGCUCUGCUUGGACUUGGCAUGUUGCCGCUGGCUUUUUUUUUCCUCUGCUCUAGUGUCUGUCUGCGUGUCGCCACGUACCCGAGUAUCAUC
rnacentral:misc_RNA from 1 species